GGAGCUUUGCCUUUGCCCGCAGUAGCGCUAUUCCCUUUCCAGGGUCUCUUGCGCGGGGCGCUGUCUUGGUCGGAGAUAUGGGAAUCUUCAGAAUCAUAGGGUUGUCGUGAAGAGGGGUGCACCUCUGUGGUACGUUCAUGGUAGGCUGCCAAAGCCUUAGGAAUGGACUCCGCGAUAGUGGAGAAAAGCCAUUCCUUAAGUUCGGCAGAGAUGGC